rnacentral:snRNA from 14 species
AUACCUUAAACAUAUAAGGGAAAUAACAAUUCCAGGUGAUGGCAGAGUCCUCACUGCUAAUGUGAGAAUUUUUGAGCAGAUAAAGGUUGUCCCUUAAGGUGACCACCUACUCUGCAGGAUGCCUGUGAAGCGUAUUGGCCUGAUUC